AACAAACGCUGGCGGCGUGCCUAAUACAUGCAAGUCGAACGGGGAAAGCUUUCGGGUGAGUACUAGUGGCGCACGGGUGAGUAACGCGUGGAUAAUCUGCCUUAGAGUGGGGGAUAACUAGUCGAAAGAUUAGCUAAUACCGCAUAAGACCACAGGAACCGAGGUUCUAGAGGUCAAAGGUUUUUCGCUCUAAGAUGAGUCCGCGUAAGAUUAGCUAGUUGGUGAGGUAACGGCUCACCAAGGCAACGAUCUUUAACUGGUCUGAGAGGAUGAUCAGUCACACUGGAACUGAGACACGGUCCAGACUCCUACGGGAGGCAGCAGUAGGGAAUAUUGCACAAUGGAGGAAACUCUGAUGCAGCGACGCCGCGUGAGUGAUGAAGGCCUUCGGGUCGUAAAGCUCUGUCGCAGGGGAAUAACACAAUGAAUGUACCCUGUAAGAAAGGAUCGGCUAACUUCGUGCCAGCAGCCGCCGCCGUAA
rnacentral:rRNA from 1 species